CUUUUCUGUAUUUAUUUAAAAGCAUAGUGUAGUAAACAUUCCUAUUAAGUACUAGAUAACAUUUAGAAAUAACAUAGAAGCAACAGAUACCCAUAGGUACCGCAAAUAUGAUGAACAACCUUAUCACCAAAUGAUAUAUUAAUAAUAAAUAUUUCAAUCGUAUAAUUUGAUCACAUAGUCUAAAUUACUAAAGCAAUACUAUAAGAUAUCGAAGCCCGCUUAAAAUGUGCUCUAAAGAAAAUAUAGAUUCUGCAACAUCAAGAACUUUGGGAGCAAAUAAAAAUAGUGUUCAUCCUUCAGCUUCAAUAAAUCAACAUGUCGCUGCUCAAG
rnacentral:lncRNA from 1 species